rnacentral:rRNA from 1 species
GAUGAACGCUGGCGGCAUGCCUUACACAUGCAAGUCGAACGGCAGCACGGGUGCUUGCACCUGGUGGCGAGUGGCGAACGGGUGAGUAAUAUAUCGGAACGUAUCCAAUAAUGGGGGAUAACUAGCCGAAAGGUUAGCUAAUACCGCAUACGCCCUGAGGGGGAAAGCUGGGGAUCGUAAGACCUAGCGUUGAUGGAGCGGCCGAUAUCUGAUUAGCUAGUUGGUGGGGUAAGAGCCUACCAAGACGACGAUCAGUAGCUGGUCUGAGAGGACGACCAGCCACACUGGAACUGAGACACGGUCCAGACUCCUACAGGAGGCAGCAGUGGGGAAUUUUGGACAAUGGGGGCAACCCUGAUCCAGCCAUUCCGCGUGAGUGAAGAAGGCCUUCGGGUUGUAAAGCUCUUUCGCAAGGGAAGAAAACUCGAUCUCUAAUAUAGGUUGAGGCUGACGGUACCUUGAUAAGAAGCACCGGCUAACUACGUGCCAGCAGCCGCCGUAA